UGUGUGUGUGUGUGUCUUUGUUUAAUUUGUAACAAAGCCAUAUAGACAAGUACAAAUCGUAAAUCCUCUUUUGCAAACCAGAACUCAUUGCUGAAUAUGAGAUUUUGGUAUUUGUAAGAAGGAAUAUG
ensembl:snoRNA